rnacentral:misc_RNA from 1 species
GUGGGUUUAUCUGUUGUAAUUUUUCCUGUUUAAGGGAGUUGAAGUCAUAGUCACUCACAUGUCAAUAGAAUCUCACACUUCCUCUGGUCAAACUAAAAUAUUACUUCUUUCUCUUUACCAAAAUUCUCUCUUUCUCUGUGCAUAUUUUUCGCUUCUUUUUUGCCUGUGAGCUUAGGGUUUUUCUCUCUCCAUCUCUGUAGAAUCCACCUUGAAUGUUUAGCAAUCUGAGCGAAAUCUAGCGGUUCGUGGAGGAAAUUUUUUAAUUAAGUAGAUGCUAGUGAUCUCUGUUUUACGUGAAUUUUAGUGUAUUUCUAGCUCGAUCUUCGUCAGUGUCUGAGGAUUUGAAGAAACCGAUCGGGUUUGGUUCUCCAUUUAGUGAAGUGCAGUGAUGUGUUGAGUAAUGGCACUUAGACUUCCAGCUCCAAAGGCAGCUGAGGUUGCAAUUGGGUCCAUAGGGCAUGGAUAUGAUAUAACAGCUGAUUUAAGGUUGAAAUACUGUAAAGGGGGUGCAAAGGAUUCACAAUUAAUUGAGAUUGAUGAAGGUGGGGGUAGAGAGAUUGUUUUGCCUGGUGGGAUUUCAAUACCAAAUGUGUCCAAAUCAAUAAAGUGCGAUAAAGGGGAGCGAACAAGGUUUAGGUCUGAUGUCCUCUCUUUCCAGCAGAUGUCUGAGCAAUUCAACCAGGAAAUGUCAUUGACUGGAAAAAUUCCCUCUGGUCUGUUCAAUUCCAUGUUCGAAUUCACAGGUUGUUGGCAGAAAGAUGCAGCUAAUACUAAAACCCUUGCUUCUGAUGGAGUAUUCAUUACUCUUUAUACAGUUGCAUUAGAGAAAUCUCAAAUUGUACUUCGUGAUCAUGUUAAAAAGGCUGUUCCAUCAUCAUGGGAACCUUCAGCAUUAGCAAAGUUUAUUGAAAUGUUUGGCACUCAUAUUAUUAUUGGUGUGAAGAUGGGCGGGAAGGAUGUCAUAUAUGUGAAACAGCAGCAUUCAUCUAUUCUUCAACCAGCUGAUCUACAGAAGAGACUAAAAGAGAUGGCUGAUAAGAGGUUUUUAGAUACCAGUGGACAGUAUAGCAUGGCUUCUGAGCAAGUUUACCAGAGUAACAAGUUGGAAAUCAGGGAGCAGCGGCUGAGGUUUGCUGAUACUAGUUCCUCAAGUUCUUAUUCUCACAAGGAGGAUAUCAUGAUAAUUUACAAAAGGAGAGGCGGAAGUGAUAAACUUCUAUCCCAUAGUGACUGGUUACGCACUGUUCAAUUUGAGCCUGAUGUAAUCUCAAUGUCCUUUAUUCCAAUUACCUCUCUAUUGAAUGGAGUCCCAGGGAAUGGAUUCUUGAGCCACGCCGUAAAUCUAUAUCUACGAUGUAAGUAAAAUUGCUUCAGGACAUAACGUUGUUGGAUUUUUACUUUUUUAUUGGCAGUGUUGCUAAUUGUGAUCAAUGUGAUCUUUAUAUCGCGUUUGCAUGCUCUAUAUUAGUUCUUUCUCAAAACACCUUUGAUCCUUACCCCUCGAUUUCUUUUCAUUUUUGACAUGUGAUUCAUGUUCAGAUCUCUUCAUAUGGAUUAUGAUCUAUUCAUUGCUUUUCUUUAAUCAUAAUGCUGCUAAAUAUUGUUGCACCAUUAAAAAUAACUGUCAUGGCUUUGCUUAUGAGUACCAGAUAAGCCCCCAAUUGAAGAGCUACACCAGUUUUUGGAAUUUCAGCUGCCAAGGCAAUGGGCACCAGUGUUUAGUGAACUUCCCCUUGGGCCACAACGGAAGCAGCACAGUACAGCAUCUUUACAAUUUAGUCUCAUAGGCCCUAAGCUUUUUGUAAACACCAGUCCAGUAAGGCCUCUUCUCUUAACAAAUUGUUUCUUGUGUUUCUUACCUGGCUGUGCCUUAUCAUUUGACUCAAAAUUUUUCAUGUUCUUGUAUGUUAUGUAUGACUUUAUGAAUGACUAUAGAAUGUUUUUGGAUAGCACUACAUCUGCUAGAUCAUUUGCAUAAUAGUUAAAUUGAUUAACAUGCUAACAGGUGGCCAUCAUUGGCUGAAACACAGUAAUUGUUGGGUCUAGAAUUCUAAAUAUGCCAUGCCAUAAUUUUGAGGUAUAACUUUUUUGAAGUAAACAAAUCUGAUCGACUUAGUAAUUUUCAAUUUAUUUUACUUUUGUAAUAAGAAAUACUUGCAUGAUCUAAAAAGUAGGACAUGUGCAUUAAGUACUUCCAUGGCAAAUACUGUUGAAGGGGUGAAUUUAUUUAUGGAGUUCAUAUCUUACUAUUAGAAGUUUUGAAGUGAAGAAUCACAUGGACAGAAUGUUUUGCGAGUUACUAUUGUUGGGAGUAAGGUGUCAUAAUAAUUUGUCACGUGUUUUUUAUGGUUCCCUUAGUAUUCUAACAAAAACUGUACUAUUUGUACAAAUUUAUAGAUGAUUGUAGGGAUUUGCAUUUCUCCUUGUUCACCUGAAACAUCUCUAGGUAAUUUUCUAUGAAACAGUUUGGGUGGCUCUAAUUUAUCUGUAUUUGUACAUCCAUUGAUGGUAUUGAAAACACCAAAACUGGCUGUAGCUAUUCAUUGAUUGUGUUUUAUUCGACAGGAAUCUGAAUUUAUAAAUUCCUUGACAGGUUGAUGUUGGUAAGAGGCCAGUGACUGGUCUUCGGCUUUAUCUAGAAGGCAAACGAAGCAAUCGCUUGGCCAUUCACUUGCAGCACCUUUCAUCUCUUCCGAAAAUCUUCCAACUCGCAGAUGAUCCACAUGGUAAUUUCCGUCAGGAUUCCUAUGAUCAUAAAUACUAUGAGAAAGUACAAUGGAAGAAUUUCUCUCAUGUCUGUACUGCUCCUGUUGAGUCUGAUGAGGAACUUUCUAUAGUAACUGGAGCCCAAUUGCAAGUUGAGAAUUGUGGAUUUAAAAAUAUUCUCUUCUUACGAUUGCGAUUCUCGACUGUGUCGGGAGCUGCGGCUGUAAAGCAUCCAGAAUGGGAUGGAUCACCUGGGUUGGCACCUAAAUCUGGCCUCAUAUCAACAUUAAUCAGCCAUCGGUUCACAUCAGUGCAGAAGCCACCUCCAAGACCAGCUGAUGUGAAUAUAAAUUCAGCUGUGUACCCUGGGGGCCCCCCAGUGCCCGUUCAAGUCCCCAAGCUUCUUAAGUUUGUUGACACAACAGAGAUGACGAGAGGGCCCCAGGAAACUCCUGGCUAUUGGGUUGUUUCUGGGGCUAGACUAGUUGUUGAGAAAGGUAGGAUUUCUCUCCGGGUUAAGUAUUCCUUGUUGACUGCAGUAUUACCUGAUGAAGAUUUGGAACCAGAAAACUAGCAGAAUUCAUCAUCCCAACUCCACCCAAUUGAACAAAGGUGAAAAGUACAGAAGUUGCAAAGUGGGAAGAACGGCAAAAGUUAUUGGCACUAAGGUUGCAAAUGCAGGAAGGUGCAAAAUGGAAAUAAUGAUUGAUUGGGAAGCAGUUGGCAAAUUGUUGUUGUAAUUUGUUCUGAUCACUGAUUUUUCCCCUGUAAUGUAAUUUUGCUUCCAUUGUAGAUUCCCCAUUUUGGUGCCUUCAAUCUUAUAACAAGGUAUUUUACAUCCUCAUUCUGCUGGUGCUAGCUGCCUGUUUGACACCUGCAGUGACCUGCACCGAGCAUGGUGUUUAAUCAGUCCUCAUGGCUUUCUUGGAAUAUAAUUUUGGGAUCUAAGAAGUUGCAUGAGGAUCUGGGUCCUCUUCGCUAAUCCAUUCCUCAGGCACUGCAAAUUAAAACAGCCCUGUUGAACCUUGUGCUUGGCCUUGCAGAGCCCUAGCCAGCGCCCAUUUGAGGGUGCAAAACAUUCAGCUGGGUACAAUUUAAUUGAGUGUGAGCGAAAUACGAGUUCUAAUUUGCUUUCUCACAUUUUGAAGGCCUUGAAUUAAGAGUGUCUAGGACUUGGUUAAUACAAUGGUGUCAAGAAACAUGAAAUUGAAGUACCACUUUUGUUGGCCACUUGCCAAACAUGAAGAUUCAGGGGUUCGUUAAGCAGAGUCUUGGCCAGCCUUUCCAAGUAAAAUUUCUUGUUCAUCAAUCAUCAUAGUGUUGUAAAGCUGACCGCCCCCUCCGAGUCUGGAAACAGUAAAUGAAACCCAUUCCGGAAGCCACGAUGCACCAGUACAGGCCAUCCUGAGAGGACCAUAUGGUUCUUGCAGGGAGAACAGGUAUGCAAUCCCACCUUCACAAGUCCUUUCAUGUAGUCACCUCAAAGAUGACAACAAUCUUUUUCUGAAAAACAACAUCUACAGGAAUUCGUUUCUAAAAGAAACCAAAGGCAACGGCAAGAUCUACUGAAUCAUCAAAGGAGCUUUCUUUUGCUACUUUUCAUUCAUUUUCCUGUUUUAAAGAAGUUAAGCAUCAAAAAAUAAGAUCAGCUUUAGAUAUGGAUAUAGGUCACUUUCAUAAAAAGGCUCAAAUCUCAAUCAUCCCAUAUUAGUGGAAGACAAGGAGAAAAUAUAGAUCAUAAAAUAAUUGAAGAUUCUAGUAAUCAGAAGGUUAUAUAAAUAAAUUUAAAA